UUUCUCCAAGGACCAAGACAGUGGAGGACGGUGGACCCAAAGUCACAAACACAUCUCCUUCUUCCCACUCGGCUGUUCUGCUGUCCGCAUUCUUCUUUCCCCAAAUCAAAAGCAAGCCCUAGCCGCCGCUACCACUGUCUUCAAGGCUCAAGCCACUUCUGCCACCACCACUGCCGGCCUUCAAUUGAAGAGCCCUUUCUCUCCG
rnacentral:lncRNA from 1 species